AACGAACGCUGGCGGCAGGCUUAACACAUGCAAGUCGAGCGCCCCGCAAGGGGGGCGGCAGACGGGUGAGUAACGCGUGGGAAUCUACCCAUCUCUACGGAAUAACGCAUGGAAACGUGUGCUAAUACCGUAUACGUCCUUCGGGAGAAAGAUUUAUCGGAGAUGGAUGAGCCCGCGUUGGAUUAGCUAGUUGGUGGGGUAAAGGCCUACCAAGGCGACGAUCCAUAGCUGGUCUGAGAGGAUGAUCAGCCACACUGGGCCUGAGACACGGACCAGACUCCUACGGGAGGCAGCAGUGGGGAAUAUUGGACAAUGGGCGCAAGCCUGAUCCAGCCAUGCCGCGUGAGUGAUGAAGGCCCUAGGGUUGUAAAGCUCUCUCACCGGUGAAGAUAAUGACGGUAACCGGAGAAGAAGCCCCGGCUAACUUCGUGCCAGCAGCCGCAGUAAGAC
rnacentral:rRNA from 1 species